GUGUCAGCAGCCGCGGUAACACCGGCAGCUCGAGGGGGAGAGGAGUGUAUUGGGCCUAAAGCGUCCGUAGCCGGUCCGAUAAGUCUCUGGUGAAAGCCCACAGCUUAACUGUGGGAAUCGCUGGAGAUACUAUCGGACUUGAGGCCGGGAGAGGCUGGAGGUACUCCCAGGGUAGGGGUGAAAUCCUAUAAUCCUGGGAGGACCACCUGUGGCGAAGGCGUCCAGCUGGAACGGACCUGACGGUGAGGGACGAAAGCCAGGGGCGCGAACCGGAUUAGAUACCCGGGUAGUCCUGGCCGUAAACGAUGCGGACUUGGUGUUGGGACGGCUUUGAGCUGUCUCAGUGCCGAAGGGAAGCUGUUAAGUCCGCCGCCUGGGAAGUACGGCCGCAAGGCUGAAACUCAAAGGAACCGACGG
rnacentral:rRNA from 1 species